UACGGAGGGUGCGAGCGUUAAUCGGAAUUACUGGGCGUAAAGCGCACGCAGGCGGUUUGUUAAGCAAGAUGUGAAAGCCCCGGGCUCAACCUGGGAACUGCAUUUUGAACUGGCAGACUAGAGUCUUGGAGAGGGGGGUGGAAUUCCAGGUGUAGCGGUGAAAUGCGUAGAGAUCUGGAGGAACAUCAGUGGCGAAGGCGGCCCCUGGCCAAAGACUCGACGCUCAUGUGCGAAAGUGUGGGUAGCGAAACAGGAUUAGAUACCCGGGUAGUCC
rnacentral:rRNA from 1 species